UACAGAGGUGGCAAGCGUUGUUCGGAAUUACUGGGCGUAAAGGGCGCGUAGGCGGCCUUCUAAGUCAGACGUGAAAUCCCCCGGCUUAACCUGGGAACUGCGUCUGAUACUGGGAGGCUCGAGUAUGGGAGAGGGAUGUAGAAUUCCAGGUGCAGCGGUGAAAUGCGUAGAUAUCUGGAGGAAUACCGGUGGCGAAGGCGGCAUCCUGGACCAUAACUGACGCUGAGGCGCGAAAGCUAGGGGAGCAAACGGG
rnacentral:rRNA from 1 species